rnacentral:rRNA from 1 species
GAGCGAACAGGAUUAGAUACCCUGGUAGUNCACGCCGUAAACGUUGGGCACUAGGUGUGGGGGGCCUUUUCCGGGUCUUCCGCGCCGUAGCUAACGCACUAAGUGCCCCGCCUGGGGAGUACGGCCGCAAGGCUAAAACUCAAAGGAAUUGACGGGGGCCCGCACAAGCGGCGGAGCAUGCGGAUUAAUUCGAUGCAACGCGAAGAACCUUACCAAGGCUUGACAUGUGCCGGUCUGCUCCGGAGACGGGGUUUCCUCCCUUGUGGGGGCUGGUUCACAGGUGGUGUAUGGUUGUCGUCAGCUCGUGUCGUGAGAUGUUGGGUUAAGUCCCGCAACGAGCGCAACCCUUGUCUCGUGUUGCCAGCACGUUGUGGUGGGGACUCGCGGGAGACUGCCGGGGUCAACUCGGAGGAAGGUGGGGAUGACGUCAAAUCAUCAUGCCCCUUAUGUCUUGGGCUUCACGCAUGCUACAAUGGCCGGUACAGAGGGCUGCGAUACCGUGAGGUGGAGCGAAUCCCUUAAAGCCGGUCUCAGUUCGGAUCGGUGUCUGCAACUCGACACCGUGAAGUUGGAGUCGCUAGUAAUCGCAGAUCAGCAACGCUGCGGUGAAUACGUUCUCGGGCCUUGUACACACCGCCCGUCACGUCAUGAAAGUCGGCAACACCCGAAGCCCGUGGCCCUAC